CAAGGUUUCAUCCUAACUAGCAUAAUAUGAAGUAUAUACAAUACAAGAAUCUAGUAGAAUGACAUACCUUUUGCUUGUGGUUGAUUCCUUGGAGCUUCAAGAGCCUAGCACUAAUAAUAUGGAUGCCUCAAGUGGAAUCACAAAUCACCAAAAACACUUUGGAAAGCUUGAGAGAAUAGUAACCACACUAGAAAUCGGCGCACUCUUGUAUCCUCACACCCUAGUACCAUUUCAUGUGCCAAAGACCUCUUUAUAUAGUAUAGAGGAUUAGAGUUACAUUCAUGUAAAUCCUAAUACCCAUGACCUUUCAUUUCCAUAGGAUCCAUGGGUUAAAAACUCCAUGGACUAUCCAUGAAAGUUUAGCCCAACCUAAAUGAACUUGGCCCAUGCUGUAUAUAUAAGAGUCCAUAUCUAAUUAGUUCCGUUUUGAUCACUAAAUUAAUUCUUGAUCAAUACUAAUUAAAUAAUAUGAUUCCAUAUUAAUAUAUUAGAACUUAUACUAUAUUAAUCUAAAUAAUAAACAUACUAUUCUCAAAAGACUAUCCAUAUAAAUUGUUUCAGUGAAGUGCAACCCAAAUGGACCAUGCUACUCUCGGGUCGAAUACAUACCAAUAAUAGUUAUGGGCUUAGACAUAUCAUCCAACAGUCUCCCACUUGGAUAAGUAUAAAACUAUUAUUGCAUAUGACUCCAAGAUCCCGACUAGCAAUUGUAGCUCUUAAAGCUGCUGCCAAACUCUGACCUAGUCAAAUGACUUGUCCAUUAGAUAAGGGAUCAUAUAUUCCUCCAUGCUAGAUAUCAUAUGGAUUGAGACAUGGAUUAUAAUCAUUCUCUCUGUCCAUUUGUUGUUUCCUGAUUUCUGAUUUAUGACGACUGACUAAUUGAAUAAAUCAAAUCAGUCCAGGCUUGGCCAAGAACUUAGGGGUGUCAUCACUAAAUCAUCGAGGGGCCCACAAAUAUCGCUUUUAUCCCUCCAAGGGUAAAAGGAAUGGAUAAACUUUGAAUCAUAUGCUUUUCCUACUACUUGUUGAAUCGUACACAAAUGCAUGUUUUAUAACAUCAAGUUACUGAUGUGUUUUCGUGCAAUCAAUGUAUAACCAACUCAUAGUCAACAAGUCAUAUCUCUAGGUUNUAGGGGUGUCAUCACUAAAUCAUCGAGGGGCCCACAUAUAUCGCUUUUAUCCUAAUGAGGUAAAAUGAAUGGAUAAACGUCGACUCAUAUGCUUGUACUAACUACUUGUUGAAUCAUACACAAAGGCACAUUUUAUAACAUCAAGUUAUUGAUGGCUUUUCAUACAAUCAAUGUAUAACCAACUCAUAGUCAACAACUCAUAUCUCUAGGUUUGAAGAAUAUAAGAUAUUAUCAUCUCAUGAUUGACUCGUGAUAAAAUCCAU
rnacentral:lncRNA from 1 species